UACGUAGGGUGCAUGCGUUGAUCGGAAUUACUGGGCGUAAAGCGUGCGCAGGCGGUUUGCUAAGACAGGUGUGAAAUCCCCGGGCUUAACCUGGGAACUGCGCUUGUAACUGGCAAGCUUGAGUGUGGCAGAGGGGGGUGGAAUUCCACGUGUAGCAGUGAAAUGCGUAGAGAUGUGGAGGAACACCGAUGGCGAAGGCAGCCCCCUGGGCUAACACUGACGCUCAUGCACGAAAGCGUGGGGAGCAAACAGG
rnacentral:rRNA from 1 species